UCCCAUCUAUUCUAAGGGC
rnacentral:misc_RNA from 1 species